rfam:Rattus norvegicus chromosome 5, whole genome shotgun sequence.
GGGGAUUUAGCUCAGUGGUAGAGCGCUUGCCUAGCAGGCACAAGGCCCUGGGUUCGGUCCCCAGCUCCG